rnacentral:lncRNA from 1 species
GAUUCUUGAGUACUACUACAAAUACAGCCUUCACCUACAGUAAAAAUUAAGCCAAUUUCAAUCAUUUUGGUCAUCAUCCCAGUCUUUCUUCCCACUUGGAGGCUUGGGCCCACCAGCUGGUUUUGCCAUGAUGAUCUGCAUAAAAAAGAAUCACACAAGAGUAUGCUUAUCAACUUAACCUUUAGAAUGAAAAGAAUGCUUCUAUUAGCAUGAUUUAAGAUUAAGCAGUCUUCUUGGUAUAAUUAUGUACUGCAUAUAAAACACUACAGCACAGAGUUUGCUAGCUCCC